rnacentral:lncRNA from 1 species
UACAGAUAAGUCACUCUUGGGAAGAAGGCUUGAAACUGGUGAAAUGGCAUUUCAAUAUCAACCAAAAAAGAUUUUCCAAGGCACAACCAACAUGCUUUCUUCUGAUACUUCCCAACUGUCAGAAAAUAAUGUGUGUCUACUUCCAGCUACUUUUGAUGGAAACGACAGCAAUGCUGGAUCUUCUGGUAAUUCGUCAGCUGAAAUCGGCACUGUCACAAACUCUCCUGUGUCACCUUCUGAUACUGGUUCUCAUUUGUUCUAGUAGACGAACUUUCAACUAAAUGAUUCACCCAUCCCAAGACUUUCUCACCAGUGGAGAAACACACACAUCAAGCAAACCAAGUCAGAGCAAUGAGAAUUGUACUGUAUAAUUUAAACUAUCUCCUAUUUAUCUUUUUUCCUCAAUUUCCUAAAAUUCUAUUUAUCUACAGAACUUGCGUGUAUAAUUCUUGUGUACAUCCUUAAAUUUAAUGUAAUAACAUGUUAAAGAUGUUUUCCAAAUAAGAACCAUGUUGAAGAUACAAGCGUAAAUUG